AGCCAGGGAUGAACUGCUUUAAUUUCUGUCCCCUUGUAUGAAAGCUGCACAUACAGUCUGAUUAUUUUGCAAGACUAAGACUG